GAACACGGAACCAGUUAAAGAACACCAUCAGAACUGGAGAAGAACACCAUCAGAACCAGAGCAGAACACCAUCAGAACUGGAGAAGAACACUAUCAGAACCAGAGCAGAACACCAUCAGAACUGGAGAAGAACACCAU